rnacentral:rRNA from 1 species
UGGGGAAUAUUGCACAAUGGACGCAAGUCUGAUGCAGCAACGCCGCGUGGAGGAUGACGCAUUUCGGUGUGUAAACUCCUUUUAUAGGGGAAGAUAAUGACGGUACCCUAUGAAUAAGCACCGGCUAACUCCGUGCCAGCAGCCGCGGUAAUACGGAGGGUGCAAGCGUUACUCGGAAUCACUGGGCGUAAAGGAUGCGUAGGCUGGAAAUCAAGUCGAAAGUGAAAUCCAACGGCUCAACCGUUGAACUGCUUUCGAAACUGAUUACCUAGAAUAUGGGAGAGGUAGAUUGAAUUAGUGGUGUAGGCGUAAAAUCCGUAGAUAUCACUACGAAUACCGAUUGCGAAGGCGAUUUACUGGAACAUUAUUGACGCUGGGGCAUGAGAUCGUGUGGAGCAAACA